CCUGCCCUUGUGGCAGCCUGCACUUGCCAGGCUGGUGACCUGACAGGGAGCAGUGGCUGUAAUGAGUGGGGCCCACGUUUGCUGUGCUGUGCUUGCACACCUCACGACAUUAUUUCGAGGAUGCAGCGCCUGUUUCUGGAUUCGCAUGCGGUUCCAUGCUCCUGUGUCGCCUCCCCAGCCUGCCCACAGGUUUUCUGUGGUGUGUCGUCAUUUUGGCAGUUUGGUUUGAUCCUAUUGGUCUGAAACACUAGGUAUUAAAUAUCCCAAUUCUGCUGCCCUGUUCUAACGUGACCUUUCUAUGGCCCUGUGUGAAGACCCACGCCUGGUGACCACUGCUAGCUUCAGGAAGAUCCCUGGGGCAGAGGGAAACUCAGUUUAGCUGGGAGCUGUCGUAGGGUGCAGCUGUGUGACUGUCCCUCUCUCCUGGAUGGAUCUUGGACCUAUG